rnacentral:piRNA from 1 species
GCGGGACGCUGGGCAGAGCCCUG